UUAGGCUUCUUGUUGGGUCUUGAUCCUCAAUAGCUUGAUUAUUCCGAGUCCUAAGGAGGAUUUGAUAUACAAGUGGCAUUGGACUUAACAGAAGAUUAAAUCAACCAUCUGCAGAUAAUUGUCCAAACUAAAAGCAGGAAUGGCAUCUUCAAGCAAUAGCAUCAAAUAUCCUCCUCUACUUUAUGAAGAAGGGAAAUCACCUCUCCAACAUAGAAGCAUGAACCACAAUUGUUUUAUGUCAAAAAUUGGAUUUUUGAGAGAAGGAUUAGGUGUGGACGUGUGGGAUAAACUGAAGGAAUCAUCUCUUGGAGUGUUUAUAAAGUUUGCUGAAUUGGAAUACACAUGGGCUGCGCAGAGAGUUCACUAUCUACUCACACAUCAGCUGAGAAUCAACAACAUCCAUGAGGUUUGGUCUUUGAUCGGUGAUA